UAGAAGAGCGCAGGAGUCGGGAGCGGUAGUCUGUCGCAAACUCGAAGGGAAACCGGAGAAGGGAGAAAAUAGCUGGAUCGCGGUAGGUUGUCGCAAUCCCGAAGGGAAACCGGAGAAGGGAGGAGGGAGACAGUAGGCGCCGGGCUGACGGGGGAAGCCUGACACGCUAGAGGCCGCGCACUAUGGCGAAGGGCUUAGGUCCAGUUCGGUCCGCACGCGCCGGUCGCAGGAGAAGGGGAAGGGGCAACCCGCGAAGGGGAAUUUGCACUCAACCGUUACAAGUAUGCUGCCGUCAGCCACGGGUUGUGACCGCAAGACACAGCACACGCAAAACGAGCCCUGGCGCCUUGAUGCAACCAGGCUGUGGAGUCAGAGUUGGCCACGAACACAGGCUUGGUGCGACCUAGUUGUGAGGGGGGGGGCGGCUACCGCUAGCGUCUCGGGCUGCUUGGUCGUAGACUUAGGCUUCCUCAGGCAACGCUAGGUGCUGUGCAGCUGUGGGAGUCGACCUGGAAUGCGCGUCAGGCCCCUAGAUAUCGCUAGGUGAAUAUUACCGGUGGCGGGCGUGCCACACCUUUCACCGACCUCGUCAACUACCCAAAACGACGCUCGAUGGUGGGUGUGCUAAACAACUUCU
rnacentral:lncRNA from 1 species